rnacentral:rRNA from 1 species
GUGGGGAAUCUUAGACAAUGGGGGAAACCCUGAUCUAGCCAUGCCGCGUGAGCGAUGAAGGCCUUAGGGUUGUAAAGCUCUUUCAGCUGGGAAGAUAAUGACGGUACCAGCAGAAGAAGCCCCGGCUAACUCCGUGCCAGCAGCCGCGGUAAUACGGAGGGGGCUAGCGUUGUUUGGAAUUACUGGGCGUAAAGCGCGCGUAGGCGGACAAGAAAGUUGGAGGUGAAAUCCCAGGGCUAAACCUUGGAACUGCCUUCAAAACUCCUCGUCUGGAGUUCGAGAGAGGUGAGUGGAAUUCCUAGUGUAGAGGUGAAAUUCGUAGAUAUUCGGGGCAACACCAGUGGCGAAGGCGGCUCACUGGCUCGAUACUGACGCUGAGGUGCUGAAGCGUGGGGAGCAAACAGGAUUAGAAACCCGGGUAGUCC